rnacentral:tRNA from 1 species
GGCCGAGAGGCGAGGCAACGGACUGCAAAUCCGUGUACACGGGUUCAAAUCCCGUCUCCA